rnacentral:rRNA from 1 species
UGGGGAAUAUUGCACAAUGGGGGAAACCCGUGAUGCAGCGACGCCGCGUGAGCGAAGAAGUAUUUCGGUAUGUAAAGCUCUAUCAGCAGGGAAGAAAAAAUGACGGUACCUGAGUAAGAAGCACCGGCUAAAUACGUGCC